rnacentral:lncRNA from 1 species
AGAUUCGGGGUACCAACCCACGGAGCGCCAUACAAAUUCAAAGGGCGCUGGGACCUCAACGUUCGGCCAGGACACUCUCCCCCGAGCCCCCGUUAUUUGGGAAACCGCCCCGUCCCCGCCUGCGAGUCUUCCACGACUACUUCUCGGUUCCCCCGUGCGACCCGCUUCCACCAGCAAGAAGGAGCCGACGGCCGAGGAGCCAGGAACUCGAUUUCGCCCCUUCCCACUCCUCUUUUCUCACUUUUGUUCGGCUUUUUCCUGCUUUCCCUCCCUUCUUCCCUCUCCUUUCUUCUUCCCGUCCUCCCUCUCUCCUCCUCCCCUCGCCUCCAGUCCUCCCCCCGCCUGCAGUCCUCCCCCCACCUAGC